rnacentral:rRNA from 1 species
UAAUAGUUAUGGUCUUGAAACUUAAAAGACUUGGCGGUAAAUUAAUUUAACUAGAGGAACUUGUAUAAUAAUCGAUAUUCCACGUUUAAUCUUACCUUAGUUAAUAUUUUUAUGUAUUGCCGUCUGGAAAAUCUUUAUAGGGGUUUAAUUUUCUUUAAAGUUUUGUUUUUAUAAAGUCAGGUCAAAGUGUAGAUUAUAUUAAGGUUUGUUAUGAGUUACAAUUAAAUUAUUAAUAUUGGAGUUAAGAGAUGAAAUUCUUUAAUGAAAUUGGAUUUAGAAGUAAUUUUUUAUUAGUAAGAUGAGUUGAAUAUUUAACUCUAAUUUAUGU